rnacentral:misc_RNA from 1 species
GAUGAAGAACGCAGCGAAAUGCGAUAAGUAAUGUGAAUUGCAGAAUUUAGUGAAUCAUCGAAUCUUUGAACGCACAUUGCGCCCGCCAGUAUUCUGGCGGGCAUGCCUGUCCGAGCGUCAUUUCAACCCUCGAACCCCUCCGGGGGGUCGGCGUUGGGGAUCGGCCCUGCCUCUUGGCGGUGGCCGUCUCCGAAAUACAGUGGCGGUCUCGCCGCAGCCUCUCCUGCGCAGUAGUUUGCACACUCGCAUCGGGAGCGCGGCGCGUCCACAGCCGUUAAACACCCAACUUCUGAAAUGUUGACCUCGGAUCAGGUAGGAAUACCCGCUGAACUUAAGCAUAUCAAUAAGCGGAGGA